CUGAACACUCAUGAGGUCUGCCUUCACCAGCACCUCCUGGUACCAACACGAAUGCUCAGCUAACCCAGAUGGGUAUGUACUUUUCUCAGAGAAGAGGCUCUUCAAAAGGUCCUUUUGCUGAUAUACACCUUCAGGAUCUGCUUUCAGAAGACACCAGAGCAACUGAACCUUAGAAAAAAAUCAAAACAAAACAUGUAUACACAGUAUGUCAGAAUAUGG